rnacentral:misc_RNA from 1 species
GAUGAAGAACGUAGCGAAAUGCGAUAAGUAGUGUGAAUUGCAGAAUUCAGUGAAUCAUCGAAUCUUUGAACGCACAUUGCGCCCUUUGGUAUUCCUUAGGACAUGCCUGUUCGAGCGUCAUUUAAACCUUCAAGCUAAGCUUGGUGUUGGGUGACUGUCCGCUUCACGGCGGACUCGCCUCAAAAUUAUUGGCGGCCGGUACAUUGGCUUCGAGCGCAGCAGAAACGCGAACUCGGGCCCGUCGUAUUGGCUCCCAGAAGCUAUCUUCACAAUUUUGACCUCGGAUCAGGUAGGGAUACCCGCUGAACUUAAGCAUAUCAAUAAGCGGAGGA